GGGGAUGUAUUGCUUUGACGUCAAUCAGCUUUAAUCAUGGCAGAUCAUCUUUGGUGGCAAGAUGUUAAACAACACUAAAAUAUAACUGUCAAAAACAGUUUAAAAACAGCAGCUAAUAAAAUCGCAAGUCUUUUUGACUUCGGUUAUGCGGCUGCUCCAGCUUUUGCUUAAUUGCAAACGCCGGCAUUUAGCGAUGAGUUCAUAUCGACGACUCGCGCUAGGUGACAACCUAGUCGAUUGGCAAAAAUAAAGAAUCAGAUCGCUUUAUUUCCAAGAACUUGAUCUGGAUGAAGCAAAGAAAGUUUGUUUAUUAACUUUUUGUUUCACAUCAAAAAUAAACUAAAUCUGUAGACAUCAUUAGGGUCAGAUUAGCGGACGCGGGAGCAAAACCCGCCAUCUCCACCA
rnacentral:tmRNA from 1 species